GUGAGGACAGUCUGACUGCGAUUUCUAUCAUCUCAUUGAUUGCCAGAGUUGAUUUAACUGAUCUGGCUGGCUAAGUGGGUGUCCCUUCCCCCACUCACCUCCCAAAGUUGUGCAAUUGGUCAAAGAGGACAACCUUCCCUGAUAGAGGAGGACCGUGCUUCUGUCAAGGGGUAUAAGGAUAGCACCUAGAACCUCCACCAAGCUCAUAACUAAUUAUUGAUGUCUAUUAUUGAUGUCUAUUAU
rnacentral:snRNA from 1 species